rnacentral:rRNA from 1 species
UACGGGGGGGGCAAGCGUUGUUCGGAAUUACUGGGCGUAAAGGGCUCGUAGGCGGCCAACUAAGUCAGACGUGAAAUCCCUCGGCUUAACCGGGGAACUGCGUCUGAUACUGGAUGGCUUGAGUUUGGGAGAGGGAUGCGGAAUUCCAGGUGUAGCGGUGAAAUGCGUAGAUAUCGGGAGGAACACCUGUGGCGAAAGCGGCUCGCUGGACCGCAACUGACGCUGAGGCGCGAAAGCUAGGGGAGUAAACAGG